UAGCAACUCUAGGACACUUCAGCCCUUUUCAGCCAGAGGGUGGGUGGAGGGGGCAACCACAAGAGGAGCUGAAUCCUUCUUGCUCUGGGGGUCUCCUCAUGGCCAGUAACCUACCAACCAAGGAGGUCUUUAUUCUGUGGGGAACUGCUUUCCUCCUCACAGGGGAUGAACAAUCUCUUCAGGACCCUUCCUCUUGACCCAGGGACCCACGCAAGCAUGCUAUGGAUCACCCGGCCCUCCAGUGCUAAAGAAGGGUCACAGCGCCCCCUGUGGUGAACUCUGUGGAGAGUAAAGAGUCAAAGGAGAAGGUUGGAUGAGAACCUCAGAGGCCGGUUCCACCAAGCUUUGCAGACUUGCUCAAGGACUCUUGACCAGCUUCCCUUUCACUCGGACACAGGAUCUGCACAGGCCACAGCUGACCUCCCUGGGCCACUUGGGAAACCCCAGGCUCUCCCACUCAGCGCUCCACAGCUCCGCUUGAGAUUCCUGUUGUCUCCCCUCCCCCUCCCCAGUGCCCCACCCCCACCCCGCAGCAGUUAGAACACAGGUAACUGCCCACUGGCUCAAAGCGUUCCUACAAGGAGGUGUACAGAAAGGAAAACAAGAAGUGGUCCUGCAGAGCCUGAGUCCCAGGCCCCUUCUCACCUCUAACUCACGGCCUUCUGGAGCCCAGGCUAUGCUCUGAGCUUGUGCUCUAUGUAUCCUCACACUGCGAUUCCCUGUCCUGCGUAACUAGCACAAGACCACUCUCACCUGUCUUGUUUGUCCGGUGCUGGUAAUUGAACCCAGGCCUCAGUCAUGCCAGGUAAAUGCUCACCACUGAGCUAUUUAUUUGUUUUGUUUUGUUUUG
rnacentral:lncRNA from 1 species